rnacentral:lncRNA from 1 species
GGGGUUGGGCCCAAUAUGUAUUAUCUAAGAGACUCAAUGAUGGCUUCACACCUGUUUGUGAAUGGUGGGUCUGAUUUAACUAAUAAGUAGGGCAAUAUGUAUUAUCUAAGCUCACAUGACUUAGAGAUUAAGUUGCUGUAAUAUGCUUAGAGAAACAUCUGAACUAAGAGUUGCUUACGCAUCAGUGUACAUAUCACGAAUAACUGUUAGAUGAGG